rnacentral:rRNA from 1 species
CCUACGGGGGGCAGCAGUGAGGAAUAUUGGUCAAUGGACGAGAGUCUGAACCAGCCAAGUAGCGUGAAGGAUGACUGCCCUAUGGGUUGUAAACUUCUUUUAUAUGGGAAUAAAACGUUCCACGUGUGGGAUUUUGUAUGUACCAUAUGAAUAAGGAUCGGCUAACACCGUGCCAGCAGCCGCGGUAAUACGGAGGAUCCGAGCGUUAUCCGGAUUUAUUGGGUUUAAAGGGAGCGUAGGUGGAUUGUUAAGUCAGUUGUGAAAGUGUGGGGCUCAACCGUAAAAUUGCAGUUGAAACUGGCAGUCUUGAGUACAGUAGAGGUGGGCGGAAUUCGUGGUGUAGCGGUGAAAUGCUUAGAUAUCACGAAGAACACCGAUUGCGAAGGCAGUUCACUGGACUGCAACUGACACUGAGGCUCGAAAGUGUGGGUAUCAAACAGGAUUAGAUACCCGAGUAGUC